ACGUUCAUUUCUGCUCUUCCACGGACGCCAUAGAAAAGGAAGUGUGCAACAGUGACGUGCAUUUCAGCACAGCUGCACCUUCUGCACGGAGCUUGGAGCGACUUUACAUAAGGGCCUUCAUAGGGUUGAAGAGUUACGGCUUUCAACUGUCUCUCAACAUCGGCUGACAUCAUUUGCUUAAACUGAACUGCCGUCCAAACGGAAACGACGAACAGCCAAACGGAGAUUAAGGGUUCAGGGUGAUAAUGUGCUCUUGGAUGAAAGUUCAGGAUUGCAAAAAUGGAAACCAGCCAUAGACUGCGCAAUCAAGCAGUCCUUGAUUGCAUUAUUAUUUCUUCGAAAGAGGGAGAAUUAUUUUUGUUCUGUUUCAAUCGACGGUUGUCCCGUUUCUCUGAAAACCGUUUGAGGUUUUUCCUUGGACUUUUUCCGCUUUUUCUUUCGUCUUCCGUCCAGAUUUUUCUCCUGAACACGAGAGAAUGUUUGACGUCGUGUGUUCGGGAACUGAAAGAUAAGAGGUAGAGUUUAAACGGAAAAGUAAUAACACAAUGUCGAGAGUUUAUCCAGAGGAUCGAUCAAAGAAUUGCCCUCAAAGAGGCCUUCAUAUACUUGCCUGCAGAAACGUUACCCAAAUUAGUUGUAUUUUUCAUCUAGUUCAGUUCCAAAUUUAGCUGCACGGACCAAUCAUGUUUCUCUGAUUGGUGUCAAAUAAAUAACAGAGGAGUUGUGAGAUUCACGUGCAGCAUCAAAGGGUCAGACGAGGCAUGCCUGGAAUGACCGAUACUGUCUGGUAUCUCCAGUUUCAUCUGCAGAGGAAUCUUUUCAGCGCCAUUAAAAGAUGUUGGGAGGAGAUGCAAGACGCGCGGCGUUCGAUCGGUUGAUGCACGGAUUAAAAAAACUAAGGAGGAGUGAUGACGGGGGAGAAAGCAGCUGGUUUUCCUAAAUGUAGAGGGAAAGAGGAGAGCUCUGAGGAAGAGGCAGUGAUCCGUCAGUAUCAUCAAGGUUUUGCUUUGUGAUUAUUCGGUGAAAGGAUCAGCGCUGCCAAACGCAGGGAGUGAUGCUUUACAGCUGGGUUGCUUUACAGCCUUGAGUGCAGCAGGUUCAAACAUUUUCAUGUUGCUGCAGCUGCUGCAGCAGCAGUCAGGGUUCAGGAGAAGAGUUGGCAUAUUUUUUUUUAGCAUUCAUUCAUUUUUAAAAUGAAUGUAUCAAGAUAAACAUCCUGCUAACGUUGUGCAUCUUUUAAGCCUGUGUCUGACUCUUGGAUUGUUCUGGUAAAUUACAUAAAAAAAUAACAAAUGAA